UACGUAGGUGGCGAGCGUUGUCCGGAAUAACUGGGCGUAAAGGGAGCGUAGGUGGCGAGGCAAGUUAGAUGUGAAAGCCCGGGGCUCAACUUCGGAAAUGCAUCUAAAACUGUCUUGCUAGAGUGCAGGAGGGGUAAACGGAAUUCCUAGUGUAGCGGUGAAAUGCGUAGAUAUUAGGAAGAACACCAGAGGCGAAGGCGGUUUACUGGACUGCAACUGACACUGAGGCUCGAAAGCGUGGGGAGCAAACAGG
rnacentral:rRNA from 1 species